UCCACACAUGUUAAAAAGCUAGUUCUCAAUCUUAAUUUUUCACAAGUGGCUGUGUUCGGUGGAUGAUAAGCCUGGCCUAAACAAGAUGAUGCUGGAUAUGCUAGCAAGAAGAUGCAAAACAGACCAGACCACAUAUGGAUGUGUCGCACUCAUGCUGGAUGCCAUGGCCAUCAGAAAACAUGUGCAAUAUCCCCAAAAAAAGCCAAUCAAUGUCUGGAUUUGUGGACAUGGGUGAUGGAAGCAGUGAGACUGAUGUUGCUACUGAGGCCCUUGUGUUCAUGGUGGUUGGCCUACAAGGACAUUGGGAGGCUCCUAUUGCUUAUUAUCUCACUCAGUCUCUGUCUCCAGACACACAAAUGGUCCUCCUCAGUCAUGCUUUGGAGGAGCUGCAUGCACGGGGCAUCUGGGUUGUUUGUGUCACUAUGGAUGGGUAUGCCUCCAAUGUGAGCAUGUGCAACCAGCUUGGAUGUGAGCUGAAAAGAGACCCACAAAAGCCGCUUCAAACCAGUUUCCCGCACCCAGUGACUGGCAAGAAAGUGUUUGUGAUGAUGGAUGCUUGCCACAUGCUCAAGUUGGCCUGUAACAUGUUGCAGCCAUACAGUCCAAUAGCAACAACCACAGACAGAUCAGUUAGAGGUACAUCAAUCAUCUCAAUGAUGUCCAAAAGAAAGAUGGACUGCAUGCUGCUAAUAAAAUCACAGACAAACAUGUCUACUUUAAGAACCACAAGAUGAGGGUGUCCCUGGCUGCACAGACACUGAGCUGCUCUGUAUCAGUGGCUCUCCGUGCAAUGAGGGAUCUUGGGUAAUCUCAGUUUAAAGACUGUGAGGCAACGGCAGAAUUCGUUGAGAUGAUCGACAGGCUGUUUGACCUAAUGAAUGGGUGCAAUCCUAGUGCAAAAGGAUUCAAAGCUCCCUUCGGUGCUCUAAAUUGGGUGGAGCGAAAAGCAUUUUUGUCAAGAGCCAGGGAGUACCUGCUCACCCCUUCACAGAUCCAAGAGGUCUAAUAGAAUAUCG